AUUGAACGCUGGCGGCAGGCCUAACACAUGCAAGUCGAACGGUAACAUUUCUAGCUUGCUAGAAGAUGACGAGUGGCGGACGGGUGAGUAAUGCUUGGGAACUUGCCUUUAGGUGGGGGAUAACAGUUGGAAACGACUGCUAAUACCGCAUAAUGUCUACGGACCAAAGGGGGCUUCGGCUCUUACCUAAAGAGAGGCCCAAGUGAGAUUAGCUAGUUGGUAAGGUAAAGGCUUACCAAGGCGACGAUCUCUAGCUGUUCUGAGAGGAAGAUCAGCCACACUGGGACUGAGACACGGCCCAGACUCCUACGGGAGGCAGCAGUGGGGAAUAUUGCACAAUGGGGGAAACCCUGAUGCAGCCAUGCCGCGUGUGUGAAGAAGGCCUUCGGGUUGUAAAGCACUUUCAGUUGUGAGGAAAGGUUGGUAGUUAAUACCUGCCAGCUGUGACGUUAACAACAGAAGAAGCACCGGCUAACUCCGUGCCAGCAGCCGCCGUAAGAC
rnacentral:rRNA from 1 species